UCUCCUUUUAUAAGUUGAAGACCUUAAAAAUGUAUGUGAGAGUUGAUGAAGAUUCUAUGCAAGCUAUGAUAUUAUUGCUCAAGUAUUCUCCUAAUGUGGAGGCUCUACAGUUGUGCUAUUAUGAGAAUCAACGCUGGUUUGAGGAUUGGCAGAUGCAUGAUCUUUGAUGAAAACAUUGUGUGCUUGGAAUCUCAUCUAAAGUCAAUUCGUUUGACUAAUUUCAAAGGUGAAGAAAACGAGAUAAAACUACUAAAGUUUUUUCUGAAGAAUGCACGAGUGUUGGAAUAACUGACUAUUUUCUGGGAGGAGGAUCGUGAUAGAUCAGAAGAGGCAUUAGAGGAGGUUUUAAAGUUUCCUAGAGCUUCUUCACAGGCUGUUCUGACAUUUCGCGAUGCCAAGAUGGUUAUUCGAUUGUUGGAUGUACUCUUAUUGGGAUUUCUUUUGAAGAUCCAAGCCAGAACCAAACUCUAUAUUAAAUUACAUUGUUCCUUGGUUUUUAUGAAAACACUAUAGUUGUUUCAUGUUUGGACUGCUAUAGAGUAGCUAGGAAGAUCAAGUCUUAUUUCUACUUGAAAGUAUCAAGCAGGAUGUGGUUAACUUCA